rnacentral:rRNA from 1 species
UACAGAGGGUGCGAGCGUUGUUCGGAAUUAUUGGGCGUAAAGAGCGUGUAGGCGGUUUGGUAGGUCCGUUGUGAAAACUCGAGGCUCAACCUCGAGACGCCGGCGGAAACCAUCAGGCUAGAGUCCGGAAGAGGAGAGUGGAAUUCCUGGUGUAGCGGUGAAAUGCGCAGAUAUCAGGAAGAACACCCGUGGCUAAGGCGGCUCUCUAGUACGGUACUGACGCUGAGACGCGAAAGCGUGGGGAGCGAACAGG